rnacentral:lncRNA from 1 species
GUAUAAUCCUACUGAAUUUGGAUAAAUAAAUGAGUUAGAUAUUCACAACAUUGUCUGAGAUUUACAGCUUCAGAAAGUUUGGAAACUAUACCACUGCACUGCUCAUUAUUCACUCUUACCCAACAUUCUGUGGGAACCAAGACAAUCCUGAAACAAAACAUAGGUCAAUUACCUCAUUUUCUAAACUACAUACAAUACAAUUCUCCAGCUACUUCGCAGUCUCAUUUGCCAGGCAUUUUUUCUGACAAUCAUCUUAGACAUUAAGUACGAGCCCUCCAUACUCUUGUACCAAUCUCACUUGCUUGAACCUGUGUACAGAGGUGUGUCAUUCUGAUACCUACAAGGAAGCUGCUCUCAUGGUAGGGAUGCGGAAAUACUUCAUAGCAACUCUGUUUUGCCUGUGAUUUAAACUCCUUCUGAGGCUAUUGGAGACUGUAUGGAAACUGUUGAAUCACGGCCUGAACCUCUGAUUGACCACCUGAGGAGAGCGCUGAGUCAGCCACAGGGGCACAGGUGAACGCAAUUUCACCUCAGUGACUGGAUGGGGUGGAGCCUGGCUCCAGCCCUCCUAGACCCCAUUUAAGGGCUGACUCCCAAGAAGGAAAGACAUCUAUCUGGAGAUCAUUUUUCUUGGAGCCCUUCUGCAAGCCCAGGACACAGGCAAGAGAAGAUUGGAUCCUGAGUGGGCACCAGGCACUGCUAUACUUCCAGACCAAACAUACAUCUACAACUACAUCUUGC